UCCUCCUGAAUGCUAGUCAGACGUGUUGCCGCUGAGCCGUGACAGGAAGUCCCCUGUGGCUAGUGAAUGGAGGAGGUUGUUGUCAUUCAGCCUCGGGUGUUGGCUAGGACAUCACAGACACUGCAGCUGCUCAUCACCACGGCAGGACCAGGUGGCAGGAACACAGUAAGCCAGGGCCUGAGUGCUGCGGUGGAGACUGAGUCGGGGGGAGGAGGGCAGGGGGAAGGGGAGGACCAGGCCUGGAAGCAGCGUGGGAGCUGGGCAGGGAGGGCAGAGGAGGGCGGGAAGUCCUGGGCGGCGAGUCCUUGGAUGCACCAGAUUCUCCCACUGACCCGCUGUGGGGCUGCCCCUAGACCUCGCUGGUGGACAAGGGUCCUGCCUCCACGCUGCUGGGCUUCUGGAGCUUCCUCUGAUCUUGCUCCUCCCUCACAGCUCUCCACUCCCUCGUAAUUAACCUCGAGUUGUGCAGUUAAAGGUGUGGUUUGUUACAGAGGGCAAGUGACCAAAACAGACACGGUGACAUCUUCAGCAGUUCACAGACUGGGCAAAGGUGCAACUGGGACCGGUGAGCCAUGAUGGUACAGCCUGGUGAGAAUGAGAAACACAGGCUGCGGGUGAGCACAGAGCAGGAGGGCCGACUCUAACGUUGAGGAGUCAAGGGAGGCUUCCCGGAGGCGGCGGCAUCUAAGAACGGUUGCUCGGGCUAGGCAGAGGGAGAGAACGUUCUGAGCAGAGAGCCACAGGUGACUGUGGUGCCAACCAGCCUGGGCUGGAAUCCCAGGCCCUCUGCCCACCCUCAGGAUGUGACUUUUGGGGGCCUUAGUUUCCCCGUCUUUAAGACGGAGAAGCAAUGGUGGUGGUGGUGAUGCAGCAAUGAGCCCAGUGAGGACCAGUUCUGCGAGGGAGGAGAAAGGCCCAGUCCCCACUGACCCUUGGAGUGCCCUCUGAGAGUCCCAAGGCCCAGCACUGGGUGUCAGACCCUUCCCACGACACCCAGUCUCCAGGCUCAGUUCUUUCUGGGACAGCCUGCAUGUGCGAAGGGCCAGGUGAGCCCCCAGCGCCCGCCGCCCGCGCUCCAGCAGGUGGCGCUGUCUACCGUCGGACGGGGGCCGGGCUCCCUCCGGGCGGGGCGGAGCAGGAGCAGAACCGGGGCGGAGAAGGGGCGAGAGGUGCUCCCAUCAGUAGCAGGGGGAAGCAUCCUUUGCCAUCUGCCCUCCAGAGAAGAGGGAGCUGAAGAUUCAAGCCUGUUUCCACGUGCUUCGUUUCUAGUUAUCCUGGAACCGUGGCAUCUGGAGGAGAGCGGUGGAGAUUUCAGACGGAACAAGCGGGCCGCAUUCCUUGACCUCCACAGGUGUCCCCUGGGGCUGCGGUGCCUUCUGCAGUUUCACCUUCAGAGUGAUCCUCCCGGACUUUGGUGGGCAGGCAGAAGGUGGGGCUGAGACACUCAUAGGAGGGCCCACAGCCGGGGACCAGGGGCCGGGGCUGGACGCCUGACCCCACCAGCCCACACUGACACUUCUGACCGCUCUGGCUGCGGCCUGAGACCCUGAAGGGCCUGACCGCCCCGGCUCCCGCCCGGCAGGCUUCUCCUGUACCCAGGGCCCUGAGGCUCCGUCUCCAUCCUCCACUCAGCCCUCCCACCCAGCAGACUCUGGAGCCACUGCGCUUGCGCUGCAGGGCUGUACACAGGCCCCAGCCCCGCCUGCUCUCACGAGGCCUGAGUCGGUGGGUCAGUCCAGAGGAGACGGCUGGAGGGCACGUGGUCAGCGAAGGGGCCACCAUGCCAAGACCUGGGGGAGGGGUGGCAGGUGCAAAGGCCCUGGGGCAGGGAGGCCAACUUGCUCUGGGAGGGAAGGGAGGCGGGGAAGAGGGUCUGCAAACAGUCUGAGCUGAUGGCAGGGCUGGUGUGGGGAGCUGCUCACAGACCAAGCUCCUGGCAGAGACCAGGCACUGGCAGAUGCAAUCUUCCACCGAGUGCUGGCCAGGGGACCCCGUUCUGUUUGGCAGAUAAGGGGCACGAGCUUCCUAGGAACCCAUUUCCCCAAGGCCUCACAGGCAGGACAUCCAGCUGGGACGGCAGCUGGAAAGCCUUGCUCUCCCUGGAAGGGGCUGUCUCAGCCCCCCUGCCUUGUUCACCUGAACCCUACGGUUUAACGCACAUCCUCCCUGCCCAGACUCCCCUCUGGCCGUGGGUCCCCCCUCACCAGCCCCACAGUUCCAGCUCUGCACCUUCCUCUGUCCUCGCCCCCAGACUCCCCUGCCACACACACACACACACACACAUACACACACACACACACACACAAUGUUGAUUACACCUGCCGGACCCCAGCACCCCGCCCUUGUCGCCGCCCCCUCCUGGCCGGGCCACCAUCCGCGCUCACUGCUCAGGCCAAGUUUCCCAGGGUUCACACCCAAAGUGGGUCACAGGUUUGAAGGGCAGCUUACAGAAUCAUAGGCGGGCUACCUGAGGUUUGGAACCAAGGCCGCAAACACAUCAGGGGACCUCCUUCCACUGAGACAACACGGGAGGAAGAAUAUCAUGCAGUGGGGGGUCCGCCCCGAGCCCUGCGUGGGCUCCAUGUGUGUGGGGGAGGGGCUGUGGAAGCCACGUCACCGCCAACAGAUUUGGGGAGGGGAGAGGCUGUCUCAGGAGGGCGUUUAUACAGACAAACAGGAAGCUGGGGUGAAAGGGCCGAGAGGAUGCUUCAGGCUCUGCUCUGACUGCCACAGAGCCGGGCCCUGGAGGCGAAGGCGAAUGAGCUGGUUUCACCAGGAAUCAGACCAGAAUCACAAACGGCUGCUCGAGGCACAGGUGAGACGUGGCCCCAGUGUCACAGGUAGGGCGUCUCCCAUUUCCAUAUGACACGCAGUGACCCUGACACAGUGGGGGGGGGGCAGCACGUUUCAAACUUGCGAGACACAACUGUGAAGGGCUGCGGUCCCUCCUUGGCCUGUGGAUGUCCGGUGCGGGCCGGACAGAACACGCCUGCACACCUGCAUGCCUGCUGUAAACAGGUGUGAAUCGGUCACCCGGGAGACACCUAGCAUAUGGCAGGCGGAGAUUCUGACACAUUCAGGGGUUUGCUGGUCCUCUGGCCUAGUGAGGCCUCAGGAAGCUCAGGUUACAGGACAAAAGGAAAGACG
ensembl:lncRNA